rnacentral:lncRNA from 1 species
ACUGGGGUCCCCUUAAAGGCAGAGUGAAUCUCAGAUUCAUCUUAGUCCCUUCCUGGGGUCUUGUUCAGGACCCUGCAUCCAGUAGAUGCUCAACAAAUGUCAACAUAGGAAUCCAGGUCCCAUCCUCUCCUCACUCAAGGGAUCCAAGGCUGCCUCUUCCUCUUCCGUAGUGGUGUGGCUUUGCAGAAGUCACUUAAGCUCUCUAAUCCUCCUCCUCAGAGUGCCAGACUGCAGCUGCCACAUGAAGAGAGAGAGGGUCUCCUAUGUUUCCUAGGCCUGUCUUGAACUCCCGGGCUCAAGCGAUUCUCCUGCCUCAGCCUCCCAACAUGCUGGAUCACAGGCAGUGGCCACCUCGCCUGGCCAGUUUUCCCUUUACAAAAACUGGAAUGCUGAGCCGGGCCACAUCAGUCUUGGCUGGACUCACUGCCCACCUCUGGGACCUUGGCGGUGGGGCGGGAAGGAGGACCUCAAAGGCUCAGCGAGUCCACCCCCAGCCCAGCCACCAGCGCCAGCCUCCUCCUCCGCAACACCCAGGCCCUUAUCAGGAAAGGAUUUGGGUUGGUGGGGAGGGGUGGGGGGAAGUUGGAGGCCUCAGGCUCAGCAAGGUGGGUCGGAGAGAUAGGGAAGUGGGGAGGGGGCUGCGGGCCCCUGCUGGGCGGGGGAGGGCAAUGGGAGGGAUGCCCAGAAUGGGCACGGUGGGGGACUUUGGCCAAGCUCUGUCCUCGCUGGCCUGGACCUCAACAUGUUUCCAGGACUUCUGCCUCCCAUCCUUGCCAGGCAAGUUGCCUGCACCUUUAAUUAGCAAGCAGCAGUUUCUCUCCAAUUCAUCACGGUCGCUGUUUAAUUAGCCGAGCCCAGGGCGCCCCCACCCCCAGCUCUGCCUGCCUGUCCUACCAAGGCCACCACCACCUCAGGGUGUCCCCUGUUACCACCCCCCACAAUCAUUCUGCUCCCCAGAGUGGGGGAUGGGCCCGGCACGCCCAGCUGAAACCUCAAGGAGAUUCUGGGCACCGGCGCUUGUAUUCAAGGCAUUCAGCAAACAUGAUUAGGGACCGAGGCUGUGCCAGGCUGGCUCUGGGUAGAACCCCGGCCGGACAUGCGGGGCAGGCUCUGGUCCUGUCCAGCUGCUGGAGAAUGGCUUCUCCCUUGGGAGGCGCUGGCACAUCUCUCUGGCUUGGUCCCUGAGUGCUGGGAGGAGGCUGCAGUACUCCUGUGUGUCACUCCCACCCCACAUCCGGAAAGGGACACCAUGUCUUCCUCUUCCUCUCUCUUCCAGAGCCCAGAAAGCUCCUCUGAGAAUGCUGGACCUCAGGACAGGGGCCCAUGCUCUGCACCCGGCCCUCAGCAGCCAGAUCCUAGAGGCCCAGUCCAAGCUGUGGGCCAAGGGAGCGGGGCGGGCUGAGGCCUGCUUUGUGUCGGCAGGGUCUGGGGAAUUGGGAGCACUGGCGGGAGCCCAUGGUCCGGGGCCGAACCAGCCCCCUUCUGUUUCCCUGAAGAAGGGUGAGGCUGAGGGCCCUCGGAACAGAGCCCCUGUGUCAUUCUGUGCAGGGCCGGGAUAGCCACUAGUCACUGUGGGCAGAAGCAAGAAGCAGAGGCUCAGGCUCCAUCCCAAGCCUGUGCUCCUGCUGGGCUGUGGGAGGUGUGACCCUUCCACUGUUUCGUAGACUGAGAACAUGGAGGGACUGGCAUUUGCUGUGUUACCCUGUGGUGCCAUCAGCGUGUUGUGACAGGGGCAGGAGGAGUGUGCUAGAACCCACCCACUCUGGUACUGCCCAUCUCUGUGGCCUUGGGCCAGCCACCAAACCGUACCAUGCCUUAGUUCCCCUAUGAUUCAUAGCUGCUUCAUGGGCUGAUGUGAGGAUUAAACAGCUUACUAUGUGUUGGGUCUGGUUUUGUUUGGCUUUGUUUUGUUUUUUGAGACAAGGUCUCACUCUGCUGCUCAGGCUGGAGUGCAGUGGUGCAAUCACAGCUCACAGCAGGCUCCACCUCUCAGGCUCAAGCGAUCCUCCCAUCUCAGCCUCCCUGAGUCUCGCUCUUUUGCCCAGGCUGGAUGGAGUGCAGUGGCGUGAUCUCAGCUCGCUGCAACCUCCACCUUCCGGGUUCAAGUGAUUCUCCUAUCUCAGCCUCCUGAGUAGCUGGGAUUACAGACUCCAGCAUAACCUUCUCCAGGAAGCUUUUCCAGAGCCCCCAGGCUAGGAACCUCCCCCCAACCCCUGAACUCAAGCCCCAGCAGCCCGUGCCUGCGCCAUCUCCAUCAGAGCUGCAUCUCUCUGGGUCUCUGGGUAACAAGUGCCAUUUCUUUGUUGUUUUCUGUGUCCCCCAAGGACAAAGCUCAGGCUGGAUUCAUCUCGGAAUUCCCAACACCGGGGUAGAACUGGCUCAUUUCAAUUUCAGUCAAUGUUUGUUGAGGAAAGGAGUGAAGAGUUGGACACAUGAAUGAACGCAUGAAACAGUCCGGAGUGGGGAAGCUGAAGCUCAGGCAUCAGGAUCCGGGAGAAGCAUCCAGUCCAGGCGGACGGGGUGGAAGGUUCAGAGCAGGGGCCCCAAGUCAGGAGUAGGGAGGCAGACGGCAAGACCUCCUUCCAUGAAAGGAGGCUGGGACCAGGGGACCAGGUAGUGCAACGCGGUGAGGGGGCUGUCAGGGCGACUGGCCGGAGGAGUCAGAGGCAGGAGGCACCACCAGGUUACAGACAAGGACCUUCUACAAGAGGGAAACGUGUCAUGGGCUCUGGAGCCCCUGUCCAGGUUCAAAUUGUGACCCUGUGCCAGGGACAGCUUCUUUGUGCCUCAGUUUUUCCCAUAAAAUGAGGAUAAUAAUACUUCAUUCAUGCCUUUUUUUCCCCUCAACAAACAUUUGUUGUAUGUCUGCUGUGGGCCCAGGACAGGAGGCUGAGAAGGAGCUGACCACAGUGGUCACACAGCCAAGCCCUGCUGCUGAGAUCUGACCCCAGUUCGCCUGUCACAAGUUCUAUCUGUGCCUCGUUGUCUGCCUCCUGGGGCUGUUAUGAGGGCUGAAGAAGGGGCAGGCACAGAGGAGACACUUACUAUAUGAUCAUUGUCCUCCUAGAGUAUCAUCACCAUCAGGUGGACUUCAGUGGCCAUCCCAGGCCUCCACGGAUCAACCACAAGAUCUUGGAGAAUGUCCUUACCCUCCAAGCCUCAGUUUACCUUUAGGGUGACCAACCAUCCUGGUUUGUCCAAAACUGAGGGUUUUCCUGGCACAGUCCCAGGCAAACUGGGAUGGUGAGUCACUGAUAUAGUUUGACUCUGUGUCCCCACCAAAUCUCACCUUGAAUUUUAAUAAUCCCUAGGUGUCAAGAGCAGGACCAAGUAGAGAUAAUUGAAUAAUGGUGGCAGUUUCCCCCAUGCUGUUCUCAUGAUAGUGAGUGAGUUCUCACGAGAUCUGAUGGUUUUAUAAGCAGCUUCCCCCUUUGCUCAGUAUCACUCUCCCUCCUGCCGCCCUGUGAAGAGCUGCCUUCCACCAUGAUUGUAAGUUUCCUGAGGCCUCCCCAGCCACGCAGAACUGUGAGUCAAUUAAACCUCUUUUCUUUAUAAAUUACCCCAGUCUCGGGCAUUUCUUCACAGCAGCGUGAGAACAGACUAAUCCCGUCACCCUGGUUUCCUCAUCUCUAACACAGGGACCACCUGCCUCCCAGGGCUGUUGUGCAGAACAGAAAUAAGCCUAUGGAAAAGGCAGAAAACCAUGGAGCCAGAAUUCUAGAUCUGGUUACAUGAAUACUAAAGACUUUUGCAUGCCAUGGAAUUCUAGGCAUGAAAAAGAACGAGGCGGUCCCGUGUACUGCUGUGGAAGAAGCUCUGAGAUACAUGUUUUUUUUGUGAAAAAGGCCAGAUACAGCGCACUUUGUGGGGAGCGCUUCUGUUAGUACCAAGGAGGGGGCAGGAACACACGUGCAUGUGCUCCAGUGCGCACAUGGGUUCUCCCGGGCGGGGACUGGGGGCUGAGGAGAAAAGACUUGUUUUUCACUGUACAUCCCUUUGCUUUGUUUGAAUUAUUUUACCCCUUUGUUUUCAGUAGCUGGCCGAAAAACUUCCCAAGCUUCCAUGUGUCAAAAAGAACUCACUGAACGAGAUUUAAAGGCCAAAGUUAGGGAGUAGGAAAUGUGUCUAGCUCAGGGCCCAGCAUCUAAGGAGUGCUCCAUGAAAGGCCUUCUCCCCUCUCCCACUCCUGACCUUGCUGACUGCUGGGAGUGCAGGGGCACAGACGGGCUGUUGCCUCCCCCAGUGCGGUAUUUGUGAGGCUCAAAUGCAAGCCCAGGCUGGGGAGACUGCUCUGGGUUCCACGCGGCAUCCUGCCUAAGCCCUGGGGGUCCUAGAGGUCACUGGCUCCCUUCUCUGCCUGCAUGUCUCAGGUCGCCCUCUGGCCAAUUCUGAAGUCCUGCCCUGCCUCAAGGAGCAGAGGUGGCAGAGGUGGGCCCACCGCACAGGGUAAAUGUCCCGGUGUCACAUACCUCCAGAUUGCAGGGACCUGCGUAUGCUACUGCUGCUGUGGAAACCAGCUCUCUCUGGCUCUGGCCUUGGGGAGAGGGAGCCACAGUGGAUUUAGGAAGAGUCUCCAGAUGUAGCUUGAGACUACCAAACAGGCCUGACCCCCACAGACCCUGCCUCUUAUGAGCGCCCAGACUGAGCCCUGCUUCAGGCUCCCAGCCAUGUGGCCAGCUGCUUUUCUUCUUUAAUUUUUAGCAUCAGACGAAUAUUUCAGGAAAAUAUUCUCAUUGUAAAAUCUCAAACAUUAAUAAAAUGUAGUGAAUAAAAGGCCAUGUAAUUCCUCUUU